AAGUUUAAUAUUGAAAUGAAAGAAAGAUAUUUUAUUUUUCUAUCAUUCUUCCUUGUUGUUCUCUGUCGUGGCUGCUUUGAACCAGAGAAGCCAUUUUCUUUUUCUUUCCAAGCUUUCAACCUUGCUUAUUGGGUUUUGAACCAAUCGACAGAUAAUCGAGAGAAAAGAGAAACUGCAAAAUAGUCCUUACCUUUGAGCUCAAUAUGGAAUUGACAGUCUUCAAUGCUGAGGUGAAAUGGUGAAAUGCUGAAGUGAAAUGGUGAAACUCUUGGCAAAUAUUAAGGUAAGUUCUAUACUCAACACUUGAGCUAAAAUUUAAUUAUCAUCACUUGUUAUAAUCAUAUUUGUAAAGUUUAAUUUUGUAUUUGUUAUAGACAAAAGAUGGCACAAUGAAUGCCUAGAUAAAUUAACCUUGAUUUGUUGUAGACAUGAAUUGACAUAAUAUAUAUUGAAGAUUUUAUUUAUAA